CCUGUGCAGGUGGUGGUGCCCUCUGCGCCUUCACUGGGGCCCAGCCAAGUAACUGAAUCCAGCCAGGAGCAAGGGCAGACGCUGGCACAGGUCCUGCCACUGUCCCCAACCUGGGUUUCAACACAGCUGAGGCCUGGCAUAGUCUUUCUGGGCGCCUCUGGCUGGCUCGGUCUGAAAGGCGCGGCCAGGUCACAGUCGGCACCAGAAGUUUGGCAGAUCUCAGUGAGGCGUUAGUUUGCAUUUCCUUGUGACGGGGUUGUAGAAGAAGGUUAACAAGGUACCACAAACCGGAUGGCUCAAAACAGCGGAUACUGUCUCACGGUUCUGGAGACCUGAAGUCUGAAACAAAGUGGUGAUGGGGGAUAGGGUUAUUUGCAGCUUCCCCCUUAUUUCCAGUAUUUCAAGAACAGGCAAUUUUAAUGUUACAUUGUGACAAUCAAGACAAACCCUGGUUUCUAAUAGAGAUAUGGCAGAUUUCUGGUUGGGGACAGCCAACGUGCACAAGGGUCCCAGAACGUUUCAUUGUGCCUGAAAGUGAGGGGGCUCUCCAGGACGAAUGGGGCCUGUCGAGAAGACAAGGAGCCAGUUUGAAAGAGGUGGCAUUGGUGAAAUCUGGGACAACCUGAGCAUCCAAAAGAAUGAGGCCCAUAGUUAACUAGGAUACAUCUAAUCCAUUUACAUCCAUGAAUCCACAAUGACACUCUAAGAAAAGAGAAAGCCUGAAAAACUCAGGCAGAUCUUAAACCAACUCUUUAUUUUGAAUAUUGGCAGCCAGAGGGAAAAAUCAAACAUUAUCUUGUUUUGUGCUAGAAAGAGGAUGCCAGUAUAACCAAAUGGCACUAGGUAUGAGGAAAGACCUCCUUUAAAAAGGAAUGUUGGGCCGGGCAUGGUGUCUCAUGCCUAUAAUCCUAGCACUUUGGAUUACAGUGUUAGGGAGGCCGAGGUGGGUGGAUCAGCUGAGGUCAGGGGUUCGAGACCAGACUGGCCAACAUGGCGAAACCCCAUCUCUACUAAAAAUACAAACUUUAGAUGGGUGUGGUGGCACACGCCUGUAAUCCCAGCUACUUGGGAGGCUGAGGCAGGAGAAUUGCUUGAACUCAGAAGGCAGAGGUUGCAGUGAGCCGAGAUCGCACCAUUGCACUCCAGCCUGGGUGACAGAAUGAGACUCUGUCUCAAAAAAACAACAACAAAAAGGAAUGUCGGCCCAUAAAUGUGAAUGAGUGACUGAGUUAGAAAAAUCAUCUUUUCCAAACACCACUGAAAUCAUGGACUAGGACAAGGUUAGCCCAUGAGUGUUUAGACCAGUGAGGUGAGCAGCUGCUGGGGACAGGACCCUUGUCUGGUAUCGAUGGCAGGGAAGGCUGUGAGCCUCCCCUCGUGUGGGCAUCAGCCUCAGCCUCCCAGUGGGGGUCACCCAGGGAGCAUAUCUCCUGGUGAGAAGUACAGGAGCUUCACAUUCCCUGGAUACGUCCCAGCCGAAAUGUUCACCGUGAAUCCGGCAACCUGUGGAGCUGAUUUCCAUUUCUAAGGAAUGAGGGGGGAUGGGGAAGAACCCCCCAGGACAGCACCAACAGUCCCUGCGGGGACCUUUCCCGGACACCCGGCCUUCUCGGCGGUGAGGCAGGUGGCGGCACCGACAGGCCCGGCGGGGACCUUUCCCGGACACCUGGCCUCCUUGGCAAGGCAGGUGGCGGCACCAACAGGCCCGGGGGGGACCUUUCCCGGACACCUGGCCUCCUCGGCGAGGCAGGUGGCAGAACUGGUUCCACGUCUGAUCUUCCUUAGACAAACCUGCCUUCAGAGGAAAUUGUGUUCAACUGGAGAAACUGGAAAAUGUACUAGAUAUUGGCUGAUAUGAAGGAUAUAUGUUUUGUUAAGUAUGAUAAUUCGAUUUUGGCUCUGUAGGGAAAGGCUCUUAUUUUAAAAAGAUGUGCACUAGAGAAAAAGGAAACAGCAUGUAGCAAAUACAUCCACGGAUGUCCUCCUGGUUUAAUUGGUUCUGUGGCCUCGGUUUCUGUCU
rnacentral:lncRNA from 1 species